UUAACUCCUAGUUGAACAGUGUGUUCUACAUGUAUCUGAUUUGAUCCUUUUUUCUUCUACAGACACUGAACUAUUAAGGAGAUAUUGUGAUAUGCAAGUCGGCAUAUGUAAACCUGCAGGAAGUUUAGGUUGCCUGUGCUGGUAAGUAUUAUAAACUGAGGAUUUUCCUGGAGCAAUGCAAUUAAAAGUUGGUUUCGAUAAGGGAAGUUUAUAGACCUACGUGGGAUAGGAGAACUAAAGCUGUAUAGUUGCUUGAUAGUUGUGCUUGAAGGUCCAAAAUCAUCCUCUUAGUCGUCCUCUUAGAAAUGUUAUUUUGUGAUAUGUUUGUG
rnacentral:lncRNA from 1 species